GACUUUUGGUAUAGCAUUGCAAAUGUAAAUGAGCGAAAUACCUAAUAAAAAAUGGAAAAAAAAAAAAAAAAAAAAAAAAAAAAAAAGAAAAUAAGCAGAUUCUGUCAGUGGCGAAAGAGACAAAAGGAAGAGACAUGCUAACAGCAGACUGAGAUGGAGUUGAUACAAAAAUAAGGAAUGUGUUUCCGAAGGAGCUGUGAAAUUAGACAUGAAGCUGAUCGGGACCUCUUGCUUUCAGAACAUUAUGAGCACGUUUGCUGCAGUGAGGUUUCUAAUUGUAAUGCUUUCAUCAUGAGCUAUGUGCUGUGGUGCAAACCAUCAUCGUUGUGAACUUCAGUAAGCAUAUAGAUCACUCAAAAUUAAAACAGGACCCUAGGUUGUAUGCACUGUGAGUUUGGUGAAUUAGAAACACAUGCACAUGCAUGUGUGCAUACAUAUGCACACAUAUAAAUGUACACAGAAAGAGGAAUUCAGCCAGAGAAGCAGACUCAACACUCGGAAGUCUUCUUACCAUGCGCCCAGGGCAGCCUUCAGUUUAACGUCAAGCUCUGAGCUUGUUCGGUUCUCAGAGUGUCUCCUCGGGUUUUAGAAGGAAAUUUGUCUACAUAUACCUAAGUUUAUGAUAUUUAAUUUAAUUUACAAAAUAGGAAAACACUAGUCUUCCGAUUACAAUCCUAUGUUGAAUUUAAACUAUGAAAGGGGAAUGAUCCCUUCUGCAUUAAAUAUGACAAUGUAAUUCUGAGCACGGUCUGAUGACAGAUGGAGAAACGCACUACUCCAACAGCCUGCAUUUGGAGAAAAAAAUAUCCUAGAGGUUGGUGAACCUCCCAAAGUUUUGGGUUAGUGCUAAGAUGCCUCCAGUUCUGUUAAAAUCAAACUUUGUUAAAAACAUUUUGUUAUGAUAAUCUUCCAAAUGGUUUGACACCUUCUGAUUUAAGCAGCGAGAGAGGAGAGAGCAAAAGGGAAGAGAGAAAAGAAAGCACUUAGACAUGUAUGAUCCCAGGGGAAAACCCCACCAGAUGAAACACUUUUAUGAGGAAAAAUGCUUAAUAUUGCAGAAUAAUAGCUGCUCUUUUAGUGCACAUUCAAAGCGUUGUCACUGUGGCACUGAGAACACACGAUUAGCCCAGUUCCUGUGGCUAUUUACUCCUACGAAUGUGAAACUUUAGUUUCAUCGUGAUAAUGUUGCUAGUUUUCCUUUCCUGUCAGACUUCUAUUGAGAAGCAACCAUUUGUGUGCUAAGCACUACUAAGCUACAGAAGUGGGAAGCAUUUAAUGUCUUGGUGUGACCUAGCUCUGGUGAAUAAAUAUUAAUGCUGUUUUUGCCCCUUUGCAUUCUCUCUUGUUCGGAGUUAAUUUCUGGAGUCAAAGUCUGUAGAGUUCCCCUGCACUGUCUGUCUGUACUGCUUGACAAGACCAACUCCCGCCAGGAGAGUGUAUUGAGAUGCCGUCACUGCUGCAGUGCACGCGUGCUAACUAUGUCCUUUGUUCCUAAGAGAAAAGACUGUGCCUGCUUCCCUGGGAAGCCUUUUCUGCAGUGGUUCACUUGCACAAAUGCUACAAAAAUGCAAGCCCACUUUCUAGAACUAAAGCUUAGUUGACUAUUUUUAAGUGUAGUACUUUUCAUAAGCAUUUUAUGCUUCAUUUAUGUUCAUGUUUAAUUUAAAAACUCCAAAAUCAUAAAUUUAAAGAUGACAAUUAAAACUCCAGGGAACAAGACACAUCACUCUUUUAUACUGAAAUUCAAACUUAGCUGUUGGUCUGAGUUUCAUAUAUAUACACACAGUUUUUAUCCCUGCCAUUCCUUCAUUCUUUAUCCAUUUGGUCUACCCAGGAGUGUAAAUGGGAAUGGGACAUCUUUCUUUCAUUUUAGUGUAGGUCGGCAGCUGAAGUCCAGAACCACUCUGCAAGUAAGCAUUCCCCAUUCACUCUCCAACAUUCUGAGUGAUACAUUCUAGCC
rnacentral:lncRNA from 1 species